rnacentral:rRNA from 1 species
UACGUAGGGGGCAAGCGUUGUCCGGAUUUAUUGGGCGUAAAGAGCUCGUAGGCGGUUUGGCAAGUCGGAUGUGAAAUCUCCAGGCUCAACCUGGAGGGGUCAUUCGAAACUGCUAUGACUAGAGUUCGGUAGAGGAGUGUGGAAUUCCUGGUGGAGCGGUGAAAUGCGCAGAGAUCAGGAGGAACACCGGUGGCGAAGGCGGUUCUCUGGGCAUUACCUGACGCUGAGGAGCGAAAGUGUGGGGAGCGAACAGG